rnacentral:rRNA from 1 species
CGAAUCGUGUAGCCCGCGUCGUUAUGCUCGGUGCCGUUAAUUUCCCUCUCACGAGGCGGAAUGGUGCUGACAAUAUUUCGUGCGUUGUUGGUUUGCCAAUCGUGAUUGUCUGUCGGGCAUCAUUUGGGAGAAUCGCUCUGCCAUUUAUUUGGUUGGGGCGUGGAUCCUAAUCGUUUACUUUGAAAAAAUUAGAGUGUUUAAGGCAGGCUCAUGCCGUGAAUAAAUUAGCAUGGUAUAAUAAGAUAGGACUUCGGCACCGCUGAUUUGCUGCCGUGUGUUGGCUGCGCUGAGAUCUCACGGUUUUGGCUUGGUUAGCGCCGGACUUCCGGCUUGUCGGUCUCUAUUUUGUUGGUUUUUAGAGCUGAAGUAAUGAUUGAUAGGGAUAGUUGGGGGUGCUGGUAUUGCCGGGCCAGAGGUGAAAUUCUUGGAUUCUGGCAAGACCAACUUAUGCGAAAGCAUUCACCAAGGAUGUCUUCUUUAAUCAAGAACGAAAGUUGAGGGAUCGAAGACGAUCAGAUACCGUCGUAGUCUCAACCAUAAACUAUGCCAACUAGGGAUUGGGCGUCGUUGUAUAGGACUCGCUCAGCACCUUAUUU